GGGAGCGCAGUGCGGGAAAUCCGCAUGCUGCGUUCGACGUGGAGGGUGCUGGAAACGUGACAAGGGGUGGUUGGUACCUAUUGCCCGAGUUAACGCGCCAGUACUCGACCCUAC
rnacentral:autocatalytically_spliced_intron from 1 species